rnacentral:tRNA from 6 species
UAAGAUGGCUGAAAUAAGUGGUGGAUUGUAGCUCCAUAUAUAAAGGUUUAAAUCCUUUUCUUAC